rnacentral:rRNA from 1 species
AACGUAGGAGGCAAGCGUUAUCCGGAUUUACUGGGCGUAAAGCGUGUGCAGGCGGUUGGUUAAGUCGUGCGUGAAAGCUCCCAGGCUCAACCGGGAGAGGCCGUGCGAUACUGGUUAACUAGAGACAGACAGAGGGCCGUGGAAUUCCGGGUGGAGUGGUGAAAUGCGUAGAGAUCCGGAGGAACUCCAGAGGCGAAGGCGGCGGCCUGGGUCUGGUCUGACGCUCAGACACGAAAGCAUGGGGAGCGAACGGG